GUGACCAAGACUGACCAGGUUUCUUUUUUUUUUUUUAUUUUGUACCAGGGAUCAAGCUCGGGACCUUGUGCUUGCGAGGCAGGCAGCGGCACCACUGAGCUAAAUUGCCAGUCCAAGACUGACCAGGAAAAAACCCUCGAUUUACAACGAAUUUCCCA
rnacentral:lncRNA from 1 species